rnacentral:rRNA from 1 species
GACGAACGCUGGCGGCGUGCUUAACACAUGCAAGUCGAGCGAGGCCCCUCCUUCGGGAGGGUGUCCUAGCGGCGAACGGGUGAGUAACACGUGGGCAACCUGCCCUCAGCUCUGGGAUAACUCCGGGAAACCGGGGCUAAUACCGGAUACGACCUCCACGGGCAUCUGCGGAGGUGGAAAGUUUUUCGGCUGAGGAUGGGCCCGCGGCCUAUCAGCUAGUUGGUGGGGUAGUGGCCCACCAAGGCGACGACGGGUAGCCGGCCUGAGAGGGCGACCGGCCACACUGGGACUGAGACACGGCCCAGACUCCUACGGGAGGCAGCAGUGGGGAAUAUUGCGCAAUGGGCGAAAGCCUGACGCAGCGACGCCGCGUGAGGGACGAAGGCCUUCGGGUUGUAAACCUCUUUCAGCAGGGACGAAGCGAAAGUGACGGUACCUGCAGAAGAAGCACCGGCCAACUACG